AGCUGGUCUGAGUGCAGUGGUGUUUACAACUAAUUGAUCACAAUCAGUUACAGAUUCCUUUGUUCCUUCUCCACUCCCGCUGCUUCACUUGACCAGCCUUUA
rnacentral:Y_RNA from 1 species